ensembl:snRNA U6 U6 spliceosomal RNA
GUGCCUGCUUCAGCAGCCCAUAUCCUAAAAUUGGAAUAGUACAGAGAAGAUUAUCACGGUCCUGGGUAACAAUGACAUGCAAAUUAGUGAAGCAUUCCACACUUAU